UACAGAGGGUGCAAGCGUUAAUCGGAAUUACUGGGCGUAAAGCGUGCGCAGAUGGUUGCGUAAGUCAGAUGUGAAAGCCCCGGGCUCAACCUGGGAAUUGCAUUCGAGACUGCGUAGCUAGGGUGCGGAAGAGGGAAGCGGAAUUUCCGGUGUAGCGGUGAAAUGCGUAGAUAUCGGAAGGAACACCAGUGGCGAAAGCGGCUUCCUGGUCCAGCACCGACGUCAGGCACGAAAGCGUGGGGAGCAAACAGG
rnacentral:rRNA from 1 species